AAUACCAAAAUAAAAUAUUAAUAAAAUAUUAAAAUAAAAUAUUUCUAAAAUAUUAAAAUAAAACCUUAAUUAAAUCUUAGUCAAAAUCUGAUUAAAUUUUAAUCAAAUUUUAGUCAAAUCUUAGUCAAAUCCUUGUCAAAUCCUACUUAACUCUUAAAUAAGGUCUAACCAAAUCCUAGACAAAUCUUAGUCAAACUCUAAUCAAAUCCUAAUAAAAUCCUAAUCAAAUCUUAAACAAAUCCUAACUUAAAUCAAACUCUAAUCCAAACCAAAACUUAAAUCAAAUCCAAAAUACUAAUCCUAAUCCUAACUAAAUCUUACAUCAAUCUAAAAUCCUAAUCUUAAUCCUAAAUCGAAUCCUAAUUAAUUCUAAGUAAUUCCUAUAGCAAAUUUAAACCUCAAUAAUUAAUAAAUGAAUUGUUGAUUU
rnacentral:lncRNA from 1 species